CCGGUGAAGUGUUCGGAUUGCGGCGACGUGGGCGGUUCGCUGCCCGCGACGUUGUGAGAAGUCCACUGAACCUUAUCAUUUAGAGGAAGGAGAAGUCGUAACAAGGUUUCCGUAGGUGAACCUGCGGAAGGAUCAUU
rnacentral:rRNA from 3 species